rnacentral:rRNA from 1 species
GAUGAACGCUGGCGGCGUGCCUAAUACAUGCAAGUCGAGCGAACAGAUAAGGAGCUUGCUCCUUUGACGUUAGCGGCGGACGGGUGAGUAACACGUGGAUAACCUACCUAUAAGACUGGGAUAACUUCGGGAAACCGGAGCUAAUACCGGAUAACAUAUUGAACCGCAUGGUUCAAUAGUGAAAGGCGGCUUUGCUGUCACUUAUAGAUGGAUCCGCGCCGUAUUAGCUAGUUGGUAAGGUAACGGCUUACCAAGGCAACGAUACGUAGCCGACCUGAGAGGGGGAUCGGGCAAACUGGAAAUGGAACACGGGCCAAACCCCCAGGGGGGGGAAGAAGGGGGAAAUUUCCGCAAGGGGGGAAAGCCUGAGGGAGCAACCCCGGGGGAGGGAUGAAGGUUUUGGGAUCGUAAACCCUUGUUAUCGGGGAAAAAAAAAGGGGUAAGUAACUGGGCACUUUUGGAGGGUACCUGAUCAAAAAGCCACGGCUAACUACGU